rnacentral:lncRNA from 1 species
CCGGUUUCGACCGGGUUUCCGUACGUCCGCCACGGUGCGGACAGCUGUCCUGGCUCAUGUUACUACUACUCGCAUAGAAAAUCGUAUGCAGAAUGAAUCUGUACUAUCCAGACUUAAUCCAUCGACGGAUAUACUUACGGUUGUAAUUUUUAGCAAAAUUAUAUGCGGACAUGUGCAUGGGAGAAAUGCUAGGGUUAGCGGGGAGGGA